rnacentral:rRNA from 1 species
AUUGAACGCUGGCGGCAGGCCUAACACAUGCAAGUCGAACGGUAACAGGAAGAAGCUUGCUUCUUUGCUGACGAGUGGCGGACGGGUGAGUAAUGUCUGGGAAACUGCCUGAUGGAGGGGGAUAACUACUGGAAACGGUAGCUAAUACCGCAUAACGUCGCAAGACCAAAGAGGGGGACCUUCGGGCCUCGUGCCAUCGGAUGUGCCCAGAUGGGAUUAGCUAGUAGGUGGGGUAACGGCUCACCUAGGCGACGAUCCCUAGCUGGUCUGAGAGGAUGACCAGCCACACUGGAACUGAGACACGGUCCAGACUCCUACGGGAGGCAGCAGUGGGGAAUAUUGCACAAUGGGCGCAAGCCUGAUGCAGCCAUGCCGCGUGUAUGAAGAAGGCCUUCGGGUUGUAAAGUACUUUCAGCGGGGAGGAAGGGAGUAAAGUUAAUACCUUUGCUCAUUGACGUUACCCGCAGAAGAAGCACCGGCUAACUCCGUG